GCUUGCCGCCAUACCACCCUGAACACGCCCGAUCUCGUCUGAUCUCGGAAGCUAAGCAGGGUCGGGCCUGGUCAGUACUUGGAUGGGAGACCGCCUGGGAAUACCAGGUGCUGUAAGCU
ensembl:rRNA 5S_rRNA 5S ribosomal RNA